rnacentral:rRNA from 1 species
GUGAGGAAUAUUGGUCAAUGGGCGCAAGCCUGAACCAGCCAUCCCGCGUGCAGGAAGACGGCGCUAUGCGUUGUAAACUGCUUUUCCAGGGAGAGAAACUUGCGCACGUGUUGCGCAAUUGACGGUACCCUGGGAAUAAGCAUCGGCUAACUCCGUGCCAGCAGCCGCGGUAAUACGGAGGAUGCGAGCGUUAUCCGGAUUCAUUGGGUUUAAAGGGUGCGUAGGCGGACUAUUAAGUCAGUGGUGAAAUCCUGCAGCUUAACUGCAGAACUGCCAUUGAUACUGAUAGCCUUGAGUUUGGUUAAGGUAGGCGGAAUGUGUAAUGUAGCGGUGAAAUGCUUAGAUAUUACACAGAACACCAAUUGCGUAGGCAGCUUACUGAGCCGACACUGACGCUGAGGCACGAAAGCGUGGGGAUCGAACAGGAUUAGAUACCCUGGUAGUCC